rnacentral:rRNA from 1 species
UACGUAGGGGCCUAGCGUUGUCCGGAAUUACUGGGCGUAAAGCGCGUGUAGGUGGUGGACAAGUCGUGCUGACUGAAGCGCCUGGCUUAACCGGGCGAGGUCGGCGGAAACCAUCUGGCUAGAGUCCGGAAGAGGAGAGUGGAAUUCCUGGUGUAGCGGUGAAAUGCGCAGAUAUCAGGAAGAACACCCCGUGGCUAAGGCGGCUCUCUAGU